GUAUUGGUGCCACACACUCUUCCCGGUUCAUUCCUCUUAAAUGAGUUAUGCCGCUUUCUACUUUGAAAGAAUUCAGUACGGACCAUCUGGUGGCAUGUCCAUCUAGCUGUCUCCCUUGUUUUGAACCAGUUAUAUAUCUAGUAUUUGGUUCUGUUUAGCUAUAAUUUCGUUAUGCACAAUGAGCUGUUCUACCUAAAUGCUCUGAGAAUCUUGUUUCCAUUGUGAAGGUUCAUUUUGAUUCAUGCUGUGCUUGUCAGUUUGUGAGAUUUUUACUAUGAAAUGCACACUUUUUGAUUGGCAAUCAUUUGGCCUGCCCAUCACUACUCAAAAUGGCCAUCUGAUGGCCACAACACGAGCUCAUAAGCUUUGUGAUAACAUCGUUUUGAUUCUCAGCCCAUGUAGCCUUGGGUUUUGCUUUGUAUCUGAUUUUUUUGUGAGCGGUUAAUGGAUCAUUUGAAUUCUCUGUUACUAUUCAUACUCGGUUACGCCAUCAAGCUAGUUUUCGAUUUUCGCAUUGAUUUGUUGUGUAAAUCGGUGUGAAUUGAGCACAAUGAACUCAGAAAGAUAACUCAGUUUUCUUGCAAAAAAAAAGAAAGAAAACUCAGUUUCCGCUAUCAAACCAAGGUAGGUUCAAGUUGCCCGCAGCCCCACGGUCAAAUAGAGAUAUAAGUACACUACUAGCAUCCAUAACCCCACAGUAUCUUGGAUGAAUACUUAGCUCCAAAACUUGUGGUUCUCUCCAUCAACGGUAUCUAUCAACCAAGGUUUGCCCUCGAACAAUAUAGGUGUAAGGGGUACGUGACCAAUAAUGUCAUCAUAUCAAAGUUGAAGUUCAAAUUACCGGAGUUUGGGGUACUUUGAUGAAUUACCGGAGUUUGGAGUUUGAGGAAUAGCACCGUAAAUGUUCAUGUAAAUGUUCAUGUAAUGUACUCUAUCUAAUACAUCAACCAUCCAGUAUCUAAAUAUUUUGGCCACGAAAAAAUUGUACCAAUUGAUUUGUUUGAUCAACUCGAGAUAGCACACCCUCAAAGGCAGAAUGCACCGCAUUAGACGAGUGCUAAAAAAGAAAAAAAAGAGAUGGGCCGAGGUUUUGCUAGGGUUUGGAGAGGUUUAGAGGAAGAAGAAGAAGAAGAAGAACAAAAGAGAGAGAUGGGGGAGAUUUACCUUCUUCCUCUGGCUUAUUAUGGCUGCCAGGGUGCGAAACGACCGCUCAUACGGACGUGGGUGCCUGCAUGGAAUGCCGUAGUUCUCCCUGAUAGCUUACCUGCGUUUGUGCAUAGAUGAAAUGACAGCUGAAACGGGGCGGCAACGUUCGUUUUGAGCACCAUCAUUCGCUCUGUUCUGUUUCUUCUUCUAGUCGAUGAUGUCAAAUGACCGUUCGACGGGUGCGUGCACUUGUUUGGAACGCCGUCAAACGCUCUGGAAAUCUUCUAUGUUUCUACAAAGAAAUGAAACGACCGCUUGAACAGGCGCUUGUGCUUGUUGGAAACACCAUUUUUCUCUGUGUUGUCUUUGCUUGUUUUGCGUUGGAACCUUCAGCAGGUCAUGCGACCGCCCAUAAGACCGUUGCGGUCGUUUUAAAGGCCGUCUUUUGACCCGUUUCUUCUGAAACUUUUCUUUUUCUCUAUUCUCCCACGGGGUUAGUUCCAAUACAUAGACAUAUUUCCAGGUAUCCAAACAUCAAUUCAACAUAUAAUUCAACUUGCACAUCACAAGUCCUUCAUUAGUCUCUUCCAAACUUACUUCUUCAAAAAGAACUUCAAUCACUCUUUUAUUGAAACAAAUAAAAACUUACUUGUCUACUUUAUUCGCGUGGGUUGCCUCCCACGAAGCGCUUGUUUUCGGUCGGUUAGCUCGACUGUAGUGGUGAUCUAGGUGGUGCAAACACACGGAGACCAUAGCUUCUAGCAUUCACGACGAUGCCUUCUCCUGCAUAGUUCUUCAUUUUCUUUUUCCUGGGGAAAUGUCUUACAAAAGGAUCUUUAGCUGGUAAAUCAAAUCUCACAUUCCCCUCAAUCACAUUUAUCACAGCUUUGAUAGUCCUUAGAAAAGGUCUACCGAGAAUUAUAGGAGCAAUUGGAUCCUCAGGCAUAUCUAUUGUCACAAGAUCAAUCAUGACAGGGCAAUCACUAAUUUGAACUAUAACACCAUGCUUAAUGCCUACUGCUCAAGUAAAAUAGAGUUAGCCAUAUUCAAAAUGAUCUCAGUAUUAGCAUAAGGAACGAGAUUGAGACUAUCAUAAACAGAUUUGGGGAUAGUGGAAACACUUGCCCCUAAAUCACAUAAGGCACUGAAUUUAUUCAAUCCCAUCUCAAUCUCUACAGUGUGUUGAAAAGCAUCCUCUUGCUUAGCUUGUAACUUACUGUAGAGCUUCUUCCUUUCAUCAUCAAGUUCACGUACCUUGGCUGCAACUUGUUCAACAAAAACAUUAUAUGCAGUCUGGAAAAUUCUGGCUAGGCAGUUUUUAGACCAUUUGUAGACUUUUUUGAAAUUUUUUUGUUGCGGAGCAAAAAAAAGAGGGAAAAAAGUGCAAAAAAUGAAAAAAGAGAAAAAAAUUCAGAGUGUGCUCCUCCCUUGUCUACAUGCAGCGCCGUGAUUUUGUUAGUGUUCUAGGCUCGCGUCUCUAGCACGGUCUAGCCUAAGACUAGCACAGUACAGUCGUUGAACGUUUAUUCAACUUUGCAUCUCUGAAUUGAUUAUUGCUGACAUUUUUGCUACCAUAUCAUAAGCCUUCCAGCUCCACAUACAUCUACGUCGUGCGUUUGACACCACCUGGCAAUCGCCCUGUCCAUGCUUUGAGAGUUUUGACUACAACGGUUGCCGAUCACCACCUGCUGCUGGGUAAGAACUAGUAAGAAUUUGAGAUUCGCUUGACGGAUUUGUGACACACCACCACCACCACCACUUCCUAGUAGUCUGUAGGAUCAUAUUCUUGUGUGUUUCUGUUGCUGCUAACCAUGGCAGGAUCACAAGCCGACGAGACUGAUUGGGAGAACAUGACGAACAAACAGUUACAUGAUAAAUUUUAGCAAAUGAUGAGUGGACAGGUGCAAGAUGUGCUAAACAGAUUUGAAGAGGCCAUGGAGAAGAUAGAUGGCAUUGAGAAGACGUUCGAAACAAAGCUCGAUAACAAGUUUAAUGAAUUGUUCACGCGUCUUCCACCACCACCGCGAGUUGCACCUGUCGCACCUCUACAACAACAAGAACAACAACAACGUCGCCUUCCAAAUCAAGUGGGACGAGCACUGCACGUUCCCCUUGAGCCUGGACAAAAUUCUGGUGCCGCUGCUACUGCUGGUGAUGCUUCUGUAGCUCCUGCUGCUACUGCAGUGGUGGAGGACUAUUACGAGUAUGGGGUUGAUCAAAAUCAAAACUAAGUGCAACCACCAGCACCACCACCAGCAGGUCGACCUCGGGCAUAUAAUCACAAUGGUAGGGCUGUAGCUCCACCUCAGGUACGAGAUCAUGACCAUCUUCCUAAAUUAAAAUUGAAUAUUCCACCAUUCGAGGGUAGAUAUGUUGAUAUAUAUCUCACUUGGGAGUUACAAACUGAACAACAUUUUACAUGUUUAUAAUAUCCCGAGGAAAGACGUGUUGCUACUGCUGUUUGUGCUUUCACUAGUUUUGCAUGUGUUUGGUGGUAUAAACAUUGUAGAUUAUAUCCUAUUCCAGCUACUUGGACUACUUUGAAAAAUGCUAUGCGUACUCGCUGGGUUCCACCAUAUUAUCAACGUGAAUUGCUUCAAAAAUUGCAGUGUUUGAGACAAGGAAAAAUUAUGUAGAAGAACAUUAUCAGAAAUUGCAAACUGGUAUGAUUAGAUGUGGCAUUGUUGAGGAUAAUGAAGCUAUGCUUGCACAUUUUAUGGAUGGAUUAAAUAAAGAGAUUCAUAUCAUUCUAGAGUAUAAGGAAUUUAAUAAUAUCACUCGUUUAUUCCAUCUUGCUUGCAAAGCUAAACAUGAAGUGCAGGAUCGACCGGUAUUGGUGCGAACUAACUUUUCUACAGGUCAACCUUCAUCAUGGACACCGCCUGCAUCCUCUACUUCCACACGUUCUGCUACACCGACACCUCCGUCAGCUGUCACCUCCAACCGUGAUACAAGAAAGCAGGCACAACCACCACUAUCUGCCAAGAGCGCACCUUCUGGGCCCGCACAUAGCUCUUCUUCAUCCAUGGCAUCAACAGGGCAAACACAUGAUAUUAUUUGUCGUUGUUGCAAGGGUGUAGAUCAUUAUGCGAGAGAAUGCCCAUCUAAACAUGUGAUGAUUGUUACUGAGGAUGGUGGGUAUGAGUCCGCUAGUGACUAUGAUGAGGAGACAUUGGCUCUUAUUACAAGUGAAGAACACGGUGGAGAUGAUUCUGAUCAUGAGACGCAAUACAUGGCUGCCGAGGAUGCUGACAGGUAUGAAUGUUUAGUUGCUCAACGUGUUUUGAGUGUGCAGGUUACACAAGCUGAGCAAAAUCAGAGGCAUAAUUUGUUCCAUACAAAGGGAGUUGUGAAGGAACGUUCUGUUCGCGUCAUCAUAGAUGGAGGGAGCUGCAACACUUGGCUAGCAUGGAGAUAGUGGAGAAGCUAUCUCUCAACACAAGACCACAUCCACAUCCUUACUACAUCCAAUGGUUCAACAACAGCGGCAAGGUUAAGGUAACACAUACUGUUCGUGUGCAUUUUAGUAUCUCUACAUAUGCUGAUUAUGUUGAUUGUGAUGUGGUACCUAUGCAAGCAUGUUCCUUAUUACUUGGUAGACCAUGGCAAUUUGAUAAAAAUUCUACACACCAUGGUAGAAACAAUCAGUAUACUCUUGUUCAUACGGACAAAAAUAUUACUUUGCUUCCUAUGACUCCUGAUUCCAUUUUGAAAGAUGAUGUUAAUAGAGCUAAUAAAGCAAAACAUGAGCAAAAUAAGAGUGAAAAUCAGAUUGUGGCAAAAGAAUUUGAGCAACAAAUGAAGCCUAAUAAUAAACCAUUUAGUGUUGCUUCUGAAAUUAAAUUGAAAACUGCAUGUUUACUUACCACCAAAUCUGAUAUUGAUGAUAUAGAUUUUAGCAAAUCUGUUUGCUAUACUUUUGUGUGCAAAGAGGCAUUAUUUUCAUUCGAGGACAUGCCUUCCUCUUUGUCUCUUACUGUUACUAACAUUUUGCAGGAGCUCGCUGACGUCUUUCCACAAGACGUGCCACCGGGAUUACCACCUAUUCGAGGGAUUGAGCAUCAGAUUGACUUAAUUCCUGGUGCCUUGCUACCCAACCGUGCACCGUACCAUACCAAUCCAGAGGAGACGAAGGAGAUUAUGCGUCAAGUCAAGGAGCUGCUCGACAAAUGUUAUAGACGCGAACCACUUAGUACUUGUGCUGUUCCUAUUAUUCUAGUGCCGAAAAAGGAUGGUACAUCGUGUAUGUGUGUUGAUUGUAGAGGCAUUAAUAAUAUUACUAUUCGUUAUCAUCAUCCUAUUCCUAGGCCAGAUGAUAUGCUUAAUGAAUUGAGUGGCUCUACAAUAUUCUCCAAAGUUGAUUUGCGUAGUGGAUACCAUCAAAUUCAUAUGAAAUUGGGAGAUGAAUGGAAAACAAUAUUAAGAACUAAGUUUGGAUUAUAUGAUUGGUUAGUCAUGCCUUUUGGGUUAACUAAUGCACCUAGUACUUUCAUGAGAUUAAUGAACUAAGUUUUACGUGCUUUCAUUGGAUGAUUUGUGGUAGUCUAUUUUGACGAUAUACCGAUUUAUAGCAGAUCUUUGGAGGAACAUUUGGAACAUUUACGUGUUGUUUUUAUUGCUCUACGUGAUGCACGUUUGUUUGGUAACCUUGGGAAGUGCACCUUUUGCACCGACGGAGUAUCUUUUCUUGGCUAUGUUGUUACUCCACAGGGAAUUGAAGUUGAUAAAGCCAAGAUUGAAGCUAUUGAGAGUUGGCCGCAACCCAAAACGGUCACACAAGUGAGGAGUUUCCUUGGACUCACUGGUUUCUAUAGGCAUUUUGUGAGAGAUUUUGGCACCAUUGCUGCACCUCUCAAUGAGCUUACAAAGAAGGAUGUGCCUAUUGUUUGGGGGACCGCACAAGAAGAAGCCUUCACGACAUUGAAAGAUAAGUUGACACAUGCUCCUUUACUCGAACUUCCUGAUUUUAAUAAGACUUUCGAGCUUGAAUGUGAUGCUAGUGGAAUUGGAUUAGGAGGUGUGUUAUUACAAGAUGGCAAACCUAUUGCAUACAUUUCUGAAAAAUUGAGUGGGCCUAGUCUGAACUAUUCUACUUAUGAUAAAGAAUUAUAUGCUCUUGUUCGGACCUUAGAAACAUGGCAACAUUAUUUAUGGCCCAAAGAAUUUGUUAUACAUUCUGAUCAUGAAUCUUUGAAACACAUUAAAAUCCAAGCAAAACCGAACCUAGUCUGAACACAAGAAGGGUAAAGAAAAUGUUAUUGCUGAUGCAUUGUCUCGUCGUUAUACUAUUCUUUCAUAACUUGACUUUGAAAUAUUUGGUUUGGAGACCAUCAAAGAUCAAUAUGUGCAUGAUGCUGAAUUUCAAGAUGUAUUGCAGAAUUGUAAGGAAGGGAGAACAUUGAACAAGUUCGUCAUUAACGAUGGAUUUGUGUUUCGUUCUAACAAGCUAUGCAUUCUAGCUAGCCCCAUUUGUCUUUUGUUGUUGCAGGAGGCACAUGGAGGAGGAUUAAUGGGACACUCUGGCAUGAAGAAGACGGAGGAUAUACUUGCUACACAUUUCUUUUGGCCAAAGAUGAGACGGGAUGUUGAGCGUUUUGUUGCUCGUUACACUACAUGUCAAAAAGGUAAGUCACGACUCAAUCCUCAUGGUUUAUAUAUGCCUUUGCCUGUACCUAGUGUUUCUUGGGAGGAUAUAUCUAUGGACUUUGUUUUAGGUUUACCUCGAACAAAGAAGGGGAGGGAUAGCGUAUUUGUUGUCGUGGAUAGGUUCUCAAAAAUGGCACACUUUAUACCUUGUCAUAAAAGCGAUGAUGCUGUUAAUGUUGCUGAUUUGUUCUUUCGUGAAAUUAUUCGCUUGCAUGGUGUGCCAAAUACUAUUGUUUCAGAUCAUGAUACUAAAUUUCUUAGACACUUUUGGAGAUGUUUAUGCGCUAAGUUGGGGACUAAACUGCUUUUUAGUACUACAUGUCACCCCCAAACUGAUGGACAAACUGAAGUAGUCAAUAGAGCAUUGUCUACUAUGCUUAGGGCUAUUUUGAAGAAUAAAAAGAAAAUGUGGGAAGAAUGCUUGCCUCAUAUUGAAUUUGCUUAUAAUCGUUCAUUGCAUUCUACUACUAAGAUGUGCCCUUUUGAAAUUGUGCAUGGUUUCCUUCCUCAUGCACCUAUUGAUUUGUUGCCUCUUCCAUCUUCGGAGAAGGUUAAUUUUGAUGCUAAACAACAUGCUGAUUUGAUCUUAAAAAUGCAUGAGCUAACUAAGGAGAACAUUGAGCGUAUGAAUGCUAAAUAUAAACUUGCUGGAGAUAAGGGUAGAAAACGUGUUGUCUUUGCACGUGGAGAUCUUGUUUGAUUACAUUUGCGUAAGGAUAGAUUUCCUGAUUUGUGCAAAUUAAAGCUAAUGCCACGUGCUGAUGGUCCAUUUAAGGUGUUAGAGAAAAUAAAUGAUAAUGCAUAUAAACUUGAGUUGCAUGCAGAUUUUGGGGUUAGUCCCACUUUUAACAUUCUAGAUUUGAAGCCUUAUUUGGGUGAGGAAGAUGAGCUUCCGUCGAGGACGACUUUAUUUCAAGAAGGGGAGGAUGAUGAGGACAUCAAUACCAUUGUUACACCCAUAGCCCCUACUGCUACAAAUAUUGUACCUAUCACUAGAGCUCGCACAUGCCAAUUAAAUUAUCAGGUACUUCCGUUUCUUGCUAAUAAUUCUAAUGUUCAUGAGAAUAUGAUGCUGCCUAAAUUCGAUACAUUUUUUUUCUUACAAAUGAAGGGCCUGGCAUGGAUAAGAGGGAUGAACACUGGAGCAAGACCAAGCAUGGAGAUGAUGGCAUGCGCAAGGGGAACAAGAACGGAGUUACAAGUGAUGAUUUUAGGACUUUGAAGCCACCAUAAGGAGUGCAUGAAGCCUUGGACAAAAUAUACAAGAUGCCACUUCAUAAAUUUCGUCCAUAGGCUAUUCUAGGUGCUUUGUCACCUUAUUAUUGGGCUAGGCCCAUGUAAUUUCGAAAUACUUAAGUAUAUGCUGUUUUUAGAGUCCGUAUGCGUGGGGAAACAUGAGUUAGGGUUGGUUUUGGACCCCUCCGCCAAGGGCCACGAAAUUCCCCCCUCUUCCUCCAUAUAUACAGCCCUUAGGGCAUCGUUUAGACUUCGGUUUUUUAGAUAAAAAGUUCGCCAUAGCUGCAACUUCGCUUACUUCGUUUGUGUUCAAUGACUAGACCAAGGCGUCACAGAACCCCACUUGAUCAAUAAAGCUUUCCUCUUUUAUUCGCAAUAUCCAGAUUGCAAUUUCAGUUUCUUGCUUGUUCUUUGUUUGCUUGUAGGAAAUAGACCCUCGUGGUUAGGUUGAUCGUGCUCCGGCGUGGUCAAUAACCUCUUAGAGUUGGUUUAGCGAUUGCUAAGGCGCGGCGUCCUCGCACGGUCGUAGUCAGAUCGUCAAAGUCUACUCCACCAUAAAUGAUAGCCACCAUCUCAUUGAAAGACGAGACACCUUUGCCUCUAUCAGAAGAUGACUCUGAAUGUGAAUCCAAACCCAACUAUAAGACACUUGCUAAAAUUGCAACUAAGAAACAAACUACUAUGAAAACAAUUCAAAUUCUGCUAGACAAAAGCGAUGAUAUGUUGGACGAGGAAAUGAAUCAAAGUCAAUCCUUAAUUGAACACAUGAAAAACUUCAAGUUAAGUAUGAAGAUCUUCUAAGUCGUCAUGAUACGCUCUGAGCAGAUCAUGAGAAGCUUCCCUAUGAUUAUCUUCAAAGGAAGCAAGAUCUAGAGAAACUAAGAGUGUCUCAUGAUGAUCUUCAAACUAAAAAUGAUUCACUGCUUGCUCAAUAGAUCAGUACCGCUCAGGAUGAGUUUGUGCCACCAUGCUUGAAAUGCCUUGAGUGUGAUAACGCUAAUUCUUCUGCUAAAUGUUCAAAUGCUUCUAAACCUGCAAUAUCUUCAACUAUAUCUGUGGUCAGUAACCCCUCAUCUGAGGAAGCUACCACUAUUACUGAUGAGAAUGCCAUGUUGAAGACAUUGCUUGAAACAAGCAUGUACAAAAGUCUCAAAGGGCACCAAACCCUUUGUGAUGUCCUCAACAAGUAGAUCUUGAAAAGGAAUCCUAGAAAGGAGGGCAUUGGUUUCGAGAGAAACAUGAAUGUUGAUGGCACCUACUGGAAGCCUGAGCAGUACCCCAAAACUACAUGGGUUGCUGUAAGGGGACCACCGGUGGAUCAAUCCACAAUAUCUGGCUAUAAUUGUGCUAACUGUAUCAUCAUUGAUGAUUCAUUUGACUCAAACUAACUGGUCAACAAUAAAAAUAAUGAAGUGUUUGCCAGGUUUAUUGGAACUAACUACAUGAAUGGGUCUCCUAUGAAGAAGAUAUGGGUGCCUACAAGUCUUCUUGAAAAGCUUCCCAAUAAUUUCAUCAUGACACCACCAGGGAAGAAGACAAACCCUAGAGCAAAGGCUUCAUAUGGCCCACAGUCUUCAUACAAACAAAGGACCUCAUAUGGUCGUGCUAACACCUAUGUUUUGUAGGGUAACAAUGAUCAAGCUCAUGAAUAUGAGGAUCAUUCUUCGAACCACUAUUUCACAAAUCAAAAAAUUUCUCUGCUUAUUCACUUGAGUAUUCUAACCCCCCGUGUGAAUCUAUUUGCUAGGGCUUCAAAGCCAAAAUUCUCAGAUGCUGCACUUAGACUCAUUGCUUCUAAGCCACCCCUUCAGAUGGGGGUGGUUAAUUAAUAAGAACUAAUUUCUCUUGCAUGGUUAGGUCUCCAGCCAAAAUGCAUUGGAUUCUGAAGACAAUGCUGGAGACCGAAAAAUCUUGUUGGACGCAAGAUAGAAUGUCCAAAUGGGCUUACCAUUUAUUUCGUCCAUGGAUUUCUUGAUGAUCACCAUGUCAUAUCCCCCAGGAAACUUACAUUUCAUGCUAGUGUUUACCGUCAAAUGAUUGCUCUUCACAAUUGUCUUGGUGAAGCCUAUCCCACUAACUGCAUUGUAGGGUACUCUUCCGAAAGCUACUGAAUGGAUCUCGGAUAGUGGAUGCACUAACAAUAUGACUUGUGAUCGAAGCCUACUUAUGGACCCAACCCUUCGUCCACCUAGACAAAGUCACAUCACAUUUGCUGACACUAGCAAAAGGAAGGUAUUGGGUCUAGGUAGGGUUGCAAUCUCAAAGGAUCGACACAUGGAUAAAGUGAUGCUUAUUGAAUCCCUUGGAUUUAACCUAAUGUUAGUCUCAAUGCUUUGUGAUCUUGAUGUGAUUGUCAUCUGUAGCAAAUACCGAUGUCUUGUGCUAGUGGCCUCUGAUAAAACCAAAGUCUUUGAAGGUUUUCGAAUAGUUGACUUGUACAUGGUAAUUUCUCUGCAGGACCACAACUUGUCACAUGACUUCUAGCAAAAGCUUCAGAAUGCUGGCUUUGGCAUCGAUGGCUAGGAAAUGUUGGCAUGAGGAACUUGCACACCCCUGUGAAGAAGAAGAAGCACAUCACUGGGAUCGAGGGUGUCAAGUUCAAGAAGGAUCAUCUAUGUGGUGCGUGCGAAGCUGGGAAGAUGACUUGGGCAAAACAUCCCUCGAAGACAAUCAUGACGACUACACGUCCCUUCGAGCUCCUACAUAUGGACUUAUUUGGCCCUACUCAUUAUUCUACUCUUACCACUACUACACAUCUAUAUGGCUUCAUAAUUGUUGAUGAUUAUUCUCGAUAUACCUGGGUGCACAUAAUCCCGUAUAAGAAUGAAGUGCAAGAUGUAUUAAGGUGAUUCCCCAACCGUGCCAUGACCAACUACGGCGUCAAGAUCAAGCACAUCACGAGUGACAAUGGCACUGAGUAAAUAAUACCGGGCUCGAUACCUAUCUUGAUGUUCUUGGCAUUACUCAUGAGUUGUCAGCUCCAUACACCCCGCAGGAGAAUGGCGCCAUGGAGCGCAAGAACAAGACUCUCAUUGAGAUGGCACACACUAUGCUUGAUGAAUACAAGAUGCCACAUAAGUGGUGGCCUGAAGCUAUUGACAAUUGAUACGUCUCAGUCGUAUCUAUAUUUUUGAUUGUUCCAUGCCAAUAUUAUACAACUUUCACAUACUUUUGGCAACAAUGUAUAUGAUUUAUUGGACUAACAUAUUGAUCUAGUGCCCAGUGCCGUCUCGUGUUUGUUGCAUGUUUUUUGUUUCACAAAAUAUCCAUAUCAAACAAAGUCCAAACGUGAUAAAAAUUUAUGGAGAUUUUAUUUGGAAUAUAUGUGAAUUUUUGGAAGAAGAAUCAACGCAAGACAGUGCUCAAGGGGCCCACUAGGCAUCNNNNNNNNNNNNNNNNNNNNNNNNNNNNNNNNNNNNNNNNNNNNNNNNNNNNNNNNNNNNNNNNNNNNNNNNNNNNNNNNNNNNNNNNNNNNNNNNNNNNNNNNNNNNNNNNNNNNNNNNNNNNNNNNNNNNNNNNNNNNNNNNNNNNNNNNNNNNNNNNNNNNNNNNNNNNNNNNNNNNNNNNNNNNNNNNNNNNNNNNNNNNNNNNNNNNNNNNNNNNNNNNNNNNNNNNNNNNNNNNNNNNNNNNNNNNNNNNNNNNNNNNNNNNNNNNNNNNNNNNNNNNNNNNNAAGGCGGUUGCUGCCCAUCUUUCACCGAAAGAAAGAUAAUUUAUGGAUAAAAAUCCCCUCAAAAUUUCAGCCCAAUCGGAGUUAAGAAUCUCCAGGAAUUUAAGAAGCAAUGAAGGGCCAGAAAACGGGAACGCGAAAUAGAAGAGAAUAGAGAGAGAGAGAGAUCCAAUCUAGGAGGGGCUCCUGCCCCUCCGCCGCCAUGGCGGCCGUGUACCAAGAGGGGAAAUUCUCCUCCCAUCUAGGGGGAGGCCAAGGAAGAAGAAGGAGGGGGGCUCUCACCCCUCUCUCCCGGUGGCACCGGAAUGCCGCUGGGCCAAUCAUCGUGACAGCGAUCUACACCAAUAACUUCGCUGCCGUCACCACCAACUCUCUCCCUCUCUAUGCAACAGCGAUCUACACCACACAUCAUCACUUCACCCUUAACUAGUCUCUGUUAAUUCUGCAACUCCCGUUUCAGUUACCACUCUUAGCAACUGAACUAGUAUCAAAUACUGAGGGGUUGCUAUAAACACUAGUAAAGUACACAUCAAUAACAUGUAUAUCAAAUAUACCUAUGUUCACUUUGCCAUCCUUCUUAUCUGCCAAUUACUUGGGGUAGUUCCGCUUCCAGUGACCAGUCCCUUUGCAGUAGAAGCACUCAGUUUCAGGCUUAGGUCCAGACUUGGGUUUUUACUUGAGCAGCAACUUGCUUGCCGUUCUUCUUGAAGUUCCCCUUUCUUCCCUUUGUCCCUUUACUUGAAACUAGUGGUUUUGUUUACCAUCAACACUUGAUGCUUUUCUUGAUUUCUACCUUCGUUGAUUUCAGCAUCACAAAGAGCUUGGAAUCAUUUCCGUUAUCCCUUGCAUAUUAUAGUUCAUCACGAAGUUCUACUAACUUGGUGAUGGUGACUAGAGAAUUCUGUCAAUCACUAUUUUAUCUGGAAGAUUAACUCCCACUUGAUUCAAGCGAUUGUAGUACCCAGACAAUCUGAGCACAUGCUCACUGCUUGAGCUAUUCUCCUCCAUCUUUUAGCUAUAGAACUUGUUGGAGACUUCAUAUCUCUCAACUUGGGUAUUUGCUUGAAAUAUUAACUUCAACUCCUGGAACAUCUCAUAUGGUCCAUGAUGUUCAAAACGUCUUUGAAGUCCUGAUUCUAAGCCGCUUAAGCAUGGUGCACUAAACUAUCAAGUAGUCAUCAUAUUGAGCUAGCCAAAUGUUCAUAACAUCUGCAUCUGCUCCUGCAAUAGGUUUGUCACCUAGCGGUGCAUCAAAGACAUAAUUCUUCUGUGCAACAAUGAGGAUAAACCUCAAAUCACGGAUCCAAUCCGCAUCAUUGCUACUAACAUCUUUCAACUUAGUUUUUCUCUAGGAACAUAUCAAAAAUAAAACAGGGGAGCUAAACGCGAGCUAUUGAUCUACAACAUAGAUAUGCUAAUACUACCUGGACUAAGUUCAUGAUAAAUUAAAUUUCAAUUAAUCAUAUUAGUUAAGAACUCCCACUUAGAUAGACAUCCCUCUAAUCAUCUAAGUGAUCACGUGAUCCAAAUCAACUAAACCAUAACCGAUCAUCACGUGAAAUGGAGUAGCUUUCAAUGGUGAACAUCAUUAUGUUGAUCAUAUCUACUAUAUGAUUCAUGCUCCACCUUUCGGUCUCAGUGUUCCGAGGCCAUAUCUGCAUAUGCUAGGCUCGUCAAGUUUAACCUGAGUAUUCUGCGUGUGCAAAACUGGCUUGCACCCGUUGUAGAUGGACGUAGAGCUUAUCACACCCGAUCAUCACGUGGUGUCUGGGCACGACAAACUUUGGCAACGGUGCAUACUUAGGGAGAACACUUUUAUCUUGAAAUUUAGUGAGAGAUCAUCUUAUAAUGCUACCGUCAAUUAAAGCAAGAUAAGAUGCAUAAAAGAUAAACAUCACAUGCAAUCAAAAUAUGUGACAUGAUAUGGCCAUCAUCACCUUGUGCCUUUGAUCUCCAUCUCCAAAACAUCGUCAUGAUUUCCAUCAUCACCGGCAUGACACCAUGAUCUCCAUCAUCUUGAUCUAUAUCAAUGUGUCGUCACAUGGUCGUCUUGCCAACUAUUGCUCUUGCAACUAUUGCUAUCGCAUAGCGAUAAAGUAAAGCAAUUAUUUGGCGCUUGCAUCUUAUGCAAUAAAGAGACAACCAUAAGGCUUCUGCCAGUUGCCGGUAACUUCAACAAAACAUGAUCAUCUUAUACAACAACUUAUAUCUCAUCACGUCUUGACCAUAUCACAUCACAACAUGCCCUGCAAAAACAAGUUAGACGUCCUCUACUUUGUUGUUGCAAGUUUUACGUGGCUGCUACGGGCUGAGCAAGAACCGUUCUUACCUACACAUCAAAACCACAACGAUAGUUUGUCAAGUUGGUGCUGUUUUAACCUUCGCAAGGACCGGGCGUAGCCACACUCGGUUCAACUAAAGUUGGAGAUACUGACAGCCGCCAGCCACCUGUGUGCAAAGCACGUUGGUAGAACCAGUCUCGCGUAAGCGUACGCGUAAUGUCGGUCCAGGCCACUUGAUCCAACAAUACCGCCGAACCAAAGUAUGACAUGCUGGUAAGCAGUAUGACUUAUAUCGCCCACAACUCACUUGUGUUCUACUCGUGCAUAUGACAUCUACGCAUAAAACCUAGGCUCGGAUGCCACUGUUGGGGAGCGUAGUAAUUUCAAAAUUUCCUACGCACACUCAAGAACAUGGUGAUGCAUAGCAACGAGAGGGGAGAGUGUUGUCUACGUACCAUCGUAGACCAGAAGCGGAAGCGUUAGCACAACACGGUUGAUGUAGUCAUACGUCUUCACGGCCUGACCGAUCAAGCACCGAAACUACGACACCUCCGAUUUCUAGCACACGUUCAGCUCGAUGACGAUCCCCGGACUCCGAUCCAGCAAAGUGUCGGGGAUGAGUUCCGUCAGGACGACGGCGUGGUGACGAUCUUGAUGUUCUACCGUCGCAGGGCUUCGCCUAAGCACCGCUAAAAUAUUAUCGAGGAUUAUGGUGGAGGGGCGCACCGCACACGGCUAAGAGAUCAAUGAUCAAUUGUUGUGUCUAUAGGGUGCCCCCUGCCCCCGUAUAUAAAGGAGUGGAGGAGGGGGCCAGCCAAGGAGGGUGGCGCUCCCAAGGGGGGGAGUCCAACUCCCACCGGGAGUAGGACUCCCCUUUUUCCUAUUAGGAGUAGGAGAGGGAAGGAAGAGGAAGGAGGGAGGAAGGAAGGGGGGGGGGGCUCCCAAUUCGGAUUGGGCUUGGGGGGGUGCCCCCUCCCUUGCUCCUUUCCCCUCCUUUCCACUAAGGCCCAAUAAGGCCCAUAUACCUCCCAGGGGUUCCGAUAACCUCCCGGUGAUCCGGUAUUGUCCCAAUCUCACCCGGAACCUUUCCGGUGUCCAAAUAUAGUCGUCCAAUAUAUCGAUCUUUAUGUCUCGACCAUUACGAGAAUCCUCGUCAAGUCCGUGAUCACAUUCGGGACUCCGAAGAACCUUUGGUACAUCAAAAUAUAUAAACUCAUAAUGAAACUGUCAUCGUAACAUUAAGCGUGCGGACCCUACGGGUUCGAGAACAAUGUAGACAUGACCGAGACACGUCUCCGGUCAAUAACCAAUAGCGGAACCUGGAUGCUCAUAUUGGCUCCUACAUAUUCUACGAAGAUCUUUAUCGGUCAGACCGCAUAACAACAUACGUUGUUCCCUUUGUCAUCGGUAUGUUACUUGCCCGAGAUUCGAUCGUCGGUAUCUCAAUACCUAGUUCAAUCUCGUUACCGGCAAGUCUCUUUACUCGUUCUGUAAUACAUCAUCUUGCAACUAACUUAUUAGUUGCAUUGCUUGCAAGGCUUAAGUGAUGUGCAUUACCGAGAGGGCCCAGAGAUACCUCUCCGACAAUCGGAGCGACAAAUCCUAAUCUCGAAAUACACCAACCCAACAUGUACCUUUGGAGACACCUGUAGAGCACCUUUAUAAUCACCCAUUUACGUUGUGACGUUUGGUAGCACACAAAGUGUUCCUCCGGUAAACGGGAGUUGCAUAAUCUCAUAGUCAUAGGAACAUGUAUAAGUCAUGAAGAAAGCAAUAGCUACAUACUAAACGAUCGGGUGCUAAGCUAAUGGAAUGGGUCAUGUCAAUCACAUCAUUCUCCUAAUGAUGUGACCCCGUUAAUCAAAUGACAACUCAUGUCUAUGGUUAGGAAACAUAACCAUCAUUGAUUAACGAGCUAGUCAAGUAGAGGCAUACUAGUGACACUUUGUUUGUCUAUGUAUUCACACAAGUAUUACGUUUCCGGUUAAUACAAUUCUAGCAUGAAUAAUAAAUAUUUAUGAUGAUAUAAGGAAAUAAAUAAUAACUUUAUUAUUGCCUCUAGGGCAUAUUUCCUUCACAUACUUGUUCUAGGUAAAUCGAACAUCAAGCGUGCGUAGAGUUGUAUCGGUGGUCGAUAUAACUUGAGGGAACAUUUGUUCUGCCUUUAGCUCCUCGUUGGGUUUGACACUCUUACUUAUCGAAAACUGUUGCGAUCCCCUAUACUUGUGGGUUAUCACUCCCCGACAGAGUGAUUUGCCGGGGGAUUGGGUGUGGAUGUCUCCGCCUCCUCCAGCUGACCCCGGCAGGCUUCCUCGUGGACUCUGGCUUCGUCUCCCCUGCCGGUGCCCCUCCUACCGCAUUCCUCUGGUCCUGGCGGUGGUGACAUGGGCAUCGCCUAGCCCCUCUUUCUGUCCAUCGUCUUCCCCUCCCUGUCGGGGUGUCGCCCUCCCGAUCUUGUCAGGCUGGGAUUCUGCCCAGACACUCCUUUUUCCCUCUUCACCUCCCACUGGAGCUCCUAGGAGGAGAGGGACAAGAAAUGCAUUACGGGGCACUUAUCUUUUUUCAAUCUAAAAGAUGUAGGCAUCUGCCAAAGUUUAGUUUAAAUUAUGUAAUCUUCCAUCCAUGUUUGUAUUCUGUAUGAUUUAUACUUGUUUAUCCAUGUAUUAAUGAAAAAAGAAAUGCCUGCGGGUACUUGUGCAUGUAUCAUGUCCAUGCCGAGGGAUAGCCCCUCAAUACUUCCAAGUAAACAAGGUUCCUCGACAAGGCACCUUGCCGACCCCUUCCGUUGCUGCCACUGGACCCGUCCUGAUGGGUUAGGAGCAUGGAGGGAGGCCCCUCUCUAGUCCCCCUCCAAAUGCUACUACUACCAUCCUAACUGAAGUAAACCAUCGAGUCAAAGGAUGGGAGCACAUAUGUUGAGGGCGACAAGGUUUUCAUACAGUAACAUACUCGUGGAUGGGGAGGAAAACUUAUCUAUGUUUGCGGCCCUCCUUAUUGCUUUGGCAAGAAGGAACUGCCGGGGACCGGUAGGCUAGGCCGCUCUCACUUCUUCCCCUUCGGGGAGUUCAUCCGCAGUAGGAGCCCUGUUGACAGUACAAGGGGAAAACAACAACAUACGAUUCUCCCUUAAAUGGAUUGGUUAUCAUGGCAAAAUCAUACUUAAGAAAUUAUGCAUGCAAGUCUUAGAUGCCAGCACUUCGUUUUAUUAUCUUUGCAUGGGGUCUAUGCCUAGCUUUGUACAAAGGGUUACAUGCACAUCUGCAAGGCUUGUACAAAAGGUGAUUGCUGGGGACUAAAACCUGCAGCCACGCCUUAUGAGUAGAACUUAUGAAGAUGCUCAGUAUUCCAUGAGUUUUGCACUUUGAUGCCAUCUUGGGUCUCCAGAUGGACCGCGCCAGGUCUCCUGACUUGUACUACCCGGUAAGGGCCUUCCCACACUACUGCAGGAUGGUCCAAACACGACAGUCGAAUCAGAGACCCUUCGACGAAACUGUGUGCGAUGCAUCAAUCACAAACGGUGAUGUAAUAAAACUGUAAAAAAGAUGCAAAACGUUUGCGAUGGCAGUGACAUCAAACACGGCUCGUAUUAGAUUUGUGUGUGCGAUGAGUGGCAAAUGAUUAAUCUAGAAGAACUGUUUGCUAUAAUGCAGAACAACAGAAACGAGCAGCCAUAUGAGGGUGUGUGCGAUAUACGACAUACAGUUCACUAGGAUGAACUGUGUGUGAUUAGGCAACACAAUGGAAACGGUUUAACUGAAUAAGAUGUGUGUGAUACGCGGCAAACAUGUCCGUAAUCAGAAAUCUGUGCGAAGACCAAUAAUUACACAGACGAUUGCUAUUAAUAAGCCGUGUGAUUUUCUCUGUCUAUAGAAGAAUAACAUUUAUAUAUAUAACUGAAAUAAACAUCCAAUUACAUAAGUGACUAUAAAGAUCAUUCACACACACCUCAAUAAAAAAAUUGAAUGCAUUCUAAACUAGGAGAAACGAUCGUCUAGUCAUCUACUUCUUGUGAUGCUCCCACCACUGCUCCGUGGCCCAAUUCCUCGUCUAGGGCAGGAAGAAGACACCUCCUCAUGUCAAUGAUCCACCUGUACAUCUCGUAGCUUGUGUAUGCGUCCUUGGCUGCAUACUUCACGUGUUGUUCAUCCAUUCUCUCAUGCCAGACACCAUGCCAGACGUUCUUGUCCUUCUUGCUCUCAUCCUUCAUCUUCAUGUAGUAGGGGUCGAUGAUGGCUGAGGCGAGUUCAUCCAGGGAGUCCUGUUUAUUGUUGUCGGUGCCCCAGACCUUGUAGUGGUCCUGGAUGUUGACUAGACUCUGGCAUUUCAAGGUCGAAACCUUGAGCGCUUUUAGAUCGUUGUGGUGUCCACCGUAGCGAAACUGUAGUCGGAGCUGUUGAUAAACCUGGAGAAAAGCUUGCAAGGCCUUGUGGCUAGGUGGUAGUGGUAGACGAGGAUGUCAUGUUGCACGCACAACUGGGUGACCGCAACCUUCUGAUCAUGCCCGGCACGACCGAUGGUGUACUCAAGGUCGAAGCCGACCACUUGGUACUUGUCCUCGCCAAGCAACUGCUCCAUAGUUUGGAUAGAGAUCUCCACCAAGACUGGAUCGUUCGUGUGCACAACCUAGAGGGCCUUCCCCCUCGCGUGGGUGUCCACUACGUGAUGCGUGGUGAACUGCCCACCGUUGUCGUUGUCGGCCGCUGGGAGCGCCAUUGGAGCCACGGGGACCGCCAUUGAACCGCUGGAUAUCCUCUCUGUAUGUGUCAUCAUGGAUGUGCUUAUUGUGUCAUGUGGCGAGAGAGAUGAAGGUAAAUGGCCGCAAGAAUGAAUGGGGGUCGGGCGGCCUAGAUUCUCGGCACGUCCGCAUGGCAAUUUUUGCAGCGGGUAACUGCAUCAUCGCGCCGCGCCCGAUGCAACCACAUGCACACGAACGUGCGUGAUCGUGCACCGGCCCCAAACACUAGUAGCGCACAUGGAGGGACGAAGGUAGAGCGUCCGGAGGGAUGUGAGAGCAGAGCGCUCCACGGUAGCCUCAACCGCAAGCAACCACACGCAUAGAGCAGUUGAACACGCAGGAAAUGGUCGCCUACAAGCCGACCGGCAGUUGCAUCGCUACGUAGAGAGCGGCCGUGUGCUACUACCUUCGUCUUGGUCUAUUAGUCCCCUUUAUAUUCUAUACGAUACUUUGCCCUUAAAUUUAACCAACAAAAUGUUAAUGCAUGUUAUUAAAAAAUAUAAUUGGAAACUAUGUUUAAAUACGAAUCCAACUAUAUAAUCUUUGGCGACAUGAAUUUGUAUUUUAUUAGUUAAAUCCUACUUAUAAACCAGGACAGGGGUAUAGCAGCUAAUUAAAUCGCAAACGUUUUUUUAUUAACCAUAUGUGUACGUGGCCUUUCAUCCUCCUCUCGCACGUCUUGUCACCCCGCUGCCACAGACGGCUCAUAGCGCAAGCUUGCGCAGCGCACGGGGGUGCUCUUUUGGCCAAACAGUGGCUCGAAGUGGCGCCAAUGAAUUGUCGGUGACCUCGUUCCCGCUCAACCUCGCAGGUUCCCGCGCAAGCUUCCCGCCCAACUCGAUGAAAUCUCCCAAAAUCCCAAUGCUUACCGGCUUGCUAUAUAAACCCACACGGCUAACGAGUCCUGCAUCGCAUUUUCCCCUCCCUCCCUUCCUGUAGCUUAUCUUGUCUGCUUCUCCCACAAUCGCCAAUGGCACCGCUCCAUCGUCGUCGCUCAGCCACUCCACCAUCAUCAGAGGACAGCUCCAGCUGGAGGCUACACCGCGGCGGUGGCACAGUCCCCGGUGUAGUGUAGUGCGUGUGGCGUCCCUGUUGGGUGUGGCGGAACACCCACCACACGCCCCGCCGCCGAUGCCCGUCGACAGCUGUUGCCGGCCGCUGUUGCCGCCACACCACCAUCGAAAGCCAGGGCCAUCGCUCGCUCCACCGCCGUGGCCCGAAGGCAGGAGGUGGCUAUCGUGCCACCACCCCACUGCCUGCCACCGUGGCCAUCACCCGCUCCGCCACCGCGGCCCGAAGGUGGGAGGUGGUGGUCGUGGUCGCCACCCCAUCAUCGGCCGCCAUGGCCGCCACCCCAUCAUUGGCCGCCAUGGACGCCAGCCCACUAUCGACCGUCGGGGUCAUCACCCGCUCCGCCACCGCCGCCCGAAGGCGGGAGGUGGAGGUGGAGGCCCGCACGUGCGUCAGCGACCUUGCGCGCUACACCGAGUUCCCGCGGGAGGAGGAGGAGCGCCUCGUCGAGCAUGCAAAGAGCCUUACCGCCGCCGUGUUCGCGGCACAUGCCGCCUCAGAGGCGAGUCUGUCUCCAUCAUCUCAUCUUGCUUAAAGCGUUACUUUGUUUGUCAUGAACUGAAUACCAUAGAUGCAGGCAGUAGUCAGUCGUUUGGUGGAGUAAUAGUAGUAGAUGCAGGCAUGAGCCGGUCUACUUGUCACGAACAUGAUGCCUAUGUACAUGAUCAUAGCCAUGAAUAACGUCAUAACUAUGCGCUUUUCUAUCAAUUGCCCAACAGUAAUUUGUCUACCCAUCAUAUGUUAUGUUUCGAGAGAGAAGCCUCUAGUGAAAAGUAUGCCCCCCGGGUCAACAUUAAUCAUAUUACAAAAACCUAAAUUACCUUGCCGCAAUUUUCUUUCUUUUUUUCUUUCAAAUUUGUAUAUCUACCACUACCAGAUUUGAUCCUUGCAAGUAACAAGUUCAAGGGGAUUGACAACCCUCUUGCCCGCGUUGGGUGCAAGUAUUUACUCAUGUGUGUGCAAGUGUUGUUCAUUAGGGUUUGCGUGGUUCUCCUAUUGGUUCGAUAACUGAAAUCACAAUUGCUCCCUUGGUGGUUUUGGUAAUUAAUGUCAACAUACUUUUUGUUGGACUAAUAGUUUUACCUAGAAUGUUUCAGACAAGUUCAAUAGUGCCAUGGCAAGGACAUGAGGUGCUGAAGACAUGGCUAGCACAGUUACACCCACAACCCCUGCUACUAUACCUAUUGGACCAAUUACUAGAGCUCGCACAUGCCAGUUAAAUUAUCAGAUACUUUCAUUUCUUAGUAAUGUUUCUAAUGUUCAUGAGGGUGUGAUGCUGCCUAACUUAGAUAUAUUUGUGUUGGUUACAGUUGAAGCACCUAGUAUGGACAAGAAGAAUGAACACUGGAGCAUGAUCAAGCACUAUGAUGAAGGCGCGCGCGAAAGGAACAAGAACGGAGUUUCCGGAGGAGAUUUCCGCACUUUGAAGCCACCAUGAUGACAUACAAGAAGAUGGACGAAAUAUACAACAUGUCUUUCACAAAUUUCGUCCAUAGCUUAUUAUUGGUGCUGUGUCACCUUAAUUUUGGGCUAGGCCCAUGCAUUUUUGAAAUACCUCUCAUUUGGCUAUUUUUAGAGUCCAUAUUGUAGGGGAAACGACUUAGGAUGUGUUUUAGUCCCACCUUGCCAAGGGUGGACGAAGCCCCUCUCUUUUCCCUUAUAAAUACAACCCUUAAGGCACCGUUUAGACUUGGGUUUUAUUUAGUUAAAAGUUAGCCAUUGCUGCAACUUUGUGUACUUUGUUUGUGUCCAACGACCAGACCAAGACCGCUUAUGAAACCCCACUUUUAUCAAUACUUCAUCCAUACUCGCAAUAUUCAGAUUGCUUAAUCAUAUUCUUGCUUGUUCUUCGAUUGCUUGCAGGAUAGACCUUUGUGGUCAGGUUGAUCGUGCUCCGGCGUGGUCAAUAACCUCUCGUAGUUGGUUUAGCGGUUGCUAAGGCGCAACGUCGUUGCACGUUUGUAGUCGGAUCGUCAAAGUCAUCUCCACCAAAUCGAUAGUUAUCUCAUUGAAAGAUCGGGACCCUCACCUGUAUCAAGUGGUAUCGGUUUUCAGAUUGCUCGGUGAGAUUUUAUAGUUUUUCGUAGUUAGCACGCAUCUAUCCUUUAUACCGACAGUCCACAAAAGAGCCAAAAAAGUUAGAUUAGUUCAUCCGUGUCCCAGACAAUCCGAGCCUUUCGCUAUUAUCACUUAGUUUUUGCAUUGUUGAACUUUUUGAUUGCAUCAUGUGUCGAGUUGCUGGUUUUUAGUGUCUAGACUUUUAGAGUUUCGGGUUCUAGUCAUGUUUUGUUCAUGCUGUCUCCACAACCACCAUCAUCCACUUCAUUGUCAUCAUCCGUUGCCACUUAUUUUGUUCACCGCCAUCACCACCAUCCAUCAACUUUUGUCGUUUGUUAUCAUCAUCUUCUCGGUUCAUCUUUUUGCUUGAUUCAUUCAGAGAGAGAGAAAGAAAUCUGAAAAAAGGAGAUGAUACAUGAUAGAGUUUGUUUGGAAACUACAUAAGUAUGGAUUGAUCAUCAUAGAGGAAACAGAAGAAGCAGCGAUCAUUGGAGUUGAUCGAAGGAAGUAGGUCACGUGAUUCUGCUGGUCCCUCGCCCGUAGCCCCGUACAUAUUCUAGUUGGUUUUUUAAGAGAGAAAAACAUUUGAAGAGAGAAAGACAUAGAAGGACAGAAAGGAUUGUACGCAACAGAAAAGGCAAGCGCUGAUUUGCUAUAAAUCCCUCAUUUUCCAUGGUAUAAACAGAAGAUAUCGGGCCGAAUCCUCCUGGUUUGGUAAUUUCGGAUCAACAGAAUAAUAGGGCAAGUUUUGGUGCGGCCUAAAACACAGAGGGAGUAGUUGGCAACCUCAUGGUUGGAAAGAAAGAAAAGGUCCACGUUUGGAAAGAUACGAGUCCUUCAAUUGGGAUGAUCUUUUGGGUAUCUAAAAACCAUUUAUCUUUGAAAGGUUUGGAUCGGUAAAAAAAGAGAGUAGAAAGAAAAGAAACUGUACGGCCAAUCUGUUGCUACUUUGGAAAGGUUGCGAUCUGCGAAAAAAAGGUAAAAAGUAGACUCAGUUGGAGUUUAGGAAGCGAUCCACGUUGGCUGUUUAACUUUGGAAAGAAUCAAAGAGAGAGAUAAGAAGAAUAUGAGUAGCAAAUUUGGAGGAAAAAAAAGCAAGUCGGAUCAGAUCCGGGCAAAUUUAUUGGGAAAGUGCUAGUCGGUUUGUUUAUUUGAUCUUGAUGAUUGAGUCAAGAGAGAGAGAGAAAGGCAGUGAGAUCAACCAUAAAGAAAAAACAUGAAUAUUGCCUAGAAUUGAGGUUGCUCACGUGAUAUUUGGAAGGGCUAUUUCGGUUUGAUCGGCAAGUUAGUUUUAACAAAAAAAAUAAAAAGAAGGGAAGUGUUGACCGAAUCUGGAAGGAAAUUACAUGAGUUGUUAAAGGAUAAAAAAUAAACGAGGAAGUGUCCAGAUUCGUUGCCCCACUUAGAAAAAAAAUCAAGAUCCGGUUGGAGGUUUCCCAAUUCUGGACGUGUCCUUGAAAGAAAAAAAACAAUUCCAGACACGUAGGGAUUUUCUGUUGGAAAGAGAGAGAGUUGAAAAAAAGGUAAAUCACGGUUGCACUUGGAAAGUGCUGAUCAGGCAAGAAAAAAAGAAGCCAAUCGUUCCUUCCUUCAGAGGCUCUCACGUCAGUGGCUUUGUUAAUUAUGUGCAUGUACAUUUGAAAAGCAAAGAGAGAGCAACAACGUACCAAAUAUUUGAAAAUACCAUACAUACUAGUAGUUCUAGUGCGGCGAGUUAAUUUGGUACGAGUGUGUGAAUAAAAAAAGGAUUAUCCGGUGGUGGAAGAGAAGAGACAUACUAAUGCUAGUACUAGUUUUCGAGUUGCCGCAUCACUUAUAUACUUGUUGUCAUCGGCUGUGAAUUCCUCUUGUGUCUUAGGCUCGCGUCUCUAGCACGGUCUAGCUUAGGAACAUCACUCGACCAUUUUGAGCGAAUUUUCAACUUGCAUUAAUUAGCAUGUUUGUAGCAUUUUCUUUCCGCAUAUAUAAAGCCAACCCAGCUCCACUUAUUUCUACACCAUGCAUACAUACAUACGCUCACCUGGCAAUUGCUUUACCCUACUUUUGGAUUUAAUUGGCAGCGCUAGUUGCCGAUCACCACCUGCUGCAUGGUAAGAACUUGCAAUACUUUGUUUUGCUCUACAGUGAGCAUUUUACCACCACAUCCCAGUAGUUCAUAGGAACAUUAUUCUUGGAUUUUGUUUCUUGUUUCCACUAAUCAUGGCAGGUUCCAGAGUCAGUUGGGCUUCAUCGAUCGUGGGAGACGUGUCAUCACCUCAAAAAAUACAACCACCAUCAGAAGAGGUACAAAGACAUCAGAAUGCACACAAUCAGGUUCUUGUUUCCAUGCCACCUUUUAAUGGUCGUUUUAAGCCUAAUUUAUAUAUUGAAUGGGAGUUCAAAAUAAAUGCUAUAUUUGCUUCCCAUAAUUUUUCUGAACGUCAAGAAGUUAAGGUCGCGGUUGGUGAUAGAGGUGAGGGUCCCGAUCUUUCGAUGAGAUGCUAACUAUCGAUUUGGUGGAGACGACUUUGAUGAUCCGACUACAAAUGUGCAACGAUGUCGCGCCUUAGCAAUCCCUAAACCAACUCCGAGAGGUUAUUGACCACGCCGGAGCAUGAUCAACCUGACCACGAAGGUCUAUUCCUGCAAGCAAUCAAAGAACAAGCAAGAAUAUGAUUAAGCAAUCUGAAUAUUGCGAGUAUGGAUGAAGUAUUGAUAAAAGUGGGGUUUCAUAAGUGGUCUUGGUCUGGUCAUUGGACACAAACAAAGUACACAAAGUUGCAGCAAUGGCUAACAAGAUCCCGUGAAGAACACGAGGAACACAAAGAGGGAAACGACGGAAAUCACAAGGAGAGACACAAGAGGAACACUCAAACUAACAAGAACAAGUCACAAAAGUGCUGGAUCCUCGAAUACAUAAGAGAAGAUACACGUUCCACGGACAACUAAGGAUGAUACAAGGGUAGCCGGUCUUUUCCAUGAGGAGGUCUUGAGUUCUUCCCUAAAGAGGGGUCUUGAAUCCGCUUGGGGGGAUCUUCUCCGGUGGAGGCUCGAAUCUCCGUGGAGAAGGUAACCAAGUGGAUGAGCAAAGCUCUCACACAAACAUGAGCUAAACCUUUGCUCACCCUACAAAGUUGUACGGGGUGGAGUAUAUAUAGUCUAGGGGGGAGAAGGGAUACACGGGCCUCGGCCCUUCACUGUGCGCAGACAGGGGAGGCCGGAUGUCCGGGCUGGUCGGGCCGGAUGUCCGGGCUUUCAGGCGACGCCGAAUGUCCGGGCUGGGGGGCCGGAUGUCCGGGCUGGAGUGGUGGCAUUUGCUGCUCUCGGGUUCGGAGGGGCCGGAUUUCUGGGCCGGUGGCCGGAUGUCCGGGGGCUCGGGAGAGGCCGGAUGUCUGGGCUGCCGGGGCCGGAUGUCUGGGCUGCCGGGGCCGGAUGUCCGGGGCCUGUAGCUUCCGGCGGCUGUGCUGCUGUAGUGGAAGACGCUCCAGGGGCCGAAUGUCCGGGGCCUGGGAGAUGCUCUUGGCUCCUUCUGUUGGCUCUCCUCAUCCAUGGACUUGGGGACUCGUACAUCUUCAUGCGCAUCUUCGGGAGGGCCCUCUUGGUGCCUAAUCAUGCACAACAACUCGGACUUAGGUAGUAGCCAUGUCUCAUGCAUAGAAAGUGGAAGUUUGGAGAGGAGUGAGUUCACCUUAUCUUCGAUAGCUUUGGCUCGGGCUCGUGUCAUUGGUCCAAGUGGUGUCAUUGGAGGUGUAGGUGCGUCCAUGGGGAUGAUCUUGGGAUGCUCUGCAUCAUCUCCCCUCCCUUGGGGAAGAUCCGUCCUCGGAUCGAAAUCCUCAUCACCAUGGUAGGGCGAGUGAUCUUUGAUGUUGAAGAUGUCGCUCACGGAGUACUUGUCACGAGGGAUCUCGAUCUUGUAUGCGUUGUUGUUGUAAUGUGCAAGCACCUUGAAUGGUCCAUCUGCGCGUGGUCAAAGUUUGGACUUGCAUUCUUGGGGAAAGCGGUCCUUGCGAAGGUGUAGCCACACGAGGUCUCCAAUGUUGAAUAUCAUAGGGUGCUUGUUGACGUUGAGCUUGGUCGCAAGGCGUUGUACUUGGCGCUCGAUGGUGUUUCUUGUAUCUUCAUGCGCCUUCUUGAGAUGGCUCGCUCGUGCACUUGCGUCCAAAUUGAUGCGCUCUUGGAGUGGUAGAGGGAGAAUAUCCAAUGGUGACAAAGGGUUGAAUCCGUAGACGACCUCCAAAGGGGACUUGCCGGUUGUUCAGUGUCUUGCUCGGUUGUAGGCGAACUCGGCGAUGGGUAGACACUCCUCCCACUCCUUGAUGUUCUUCUUGAUGAGUACUCGAAGUAGAGCAGAGAGUGUGUGGUUUGUCACCUCCGUUUGGCUGUCGGUUUGAGGAUGGUAUGCCAUGGAGAAGAGUAGCUUGAUUCCGAGCUUGGCACAUAGGGUCUUCCAAAAGUAGCUAAGGAACUUGACAUCGCGGUCCAAGACGAUGGUCUUUGGCACACCAUGGAGACGCAAUAUUUCCCUACAAAAGGGAUUAGCAACAUGUGAAGCAUCGUCUAUCUUGUUGCAAGGAAUAAAAUGUGCCAUUUUUGAGAAACGGUCCACAACGACAAAUAUGGAAUCUUUACCAUUUCGAGUCCUAGGCAAACCGAGUACAAAGUCCAUGCUAAUGUCUUCCCAUGGUUGGUAAGGAAUUGGUAGAGGCAUAUAGAGGCCAUGAGAUUGAGCUUUGGACUUAGCUUUGCGACAUGUAGACGUCGGUUGGUGAAAUGAUUGAUGUCCCAAAACAUCUUGGGCCAAAAGUAGUUCUUUGAGAACGUGGCGAACGUCUUGUCGCGUCCAAAAUGUCCCAUUAAGCCUCCUCCAUGCGAUUCCUGCAAAAGAAACAAAUGAAGAGACGACUCGGGGAUGCAAAGUUUGUUAGCUCUCAUAAUAUAGUCAUCUUUGAUGUAAUAACGUUCCCAAGAUGUAUUCGACAAACACUUGGCAUAAGGAGUAGCAAAAGUUGCAUCAUGCUCAUACAAGUCCUUGAUAUGCUCGAAGCCAAUGACAUCUAACUCAAGUUGCGUGACAAGCAUGCAUAUGCGGGAAAGAGCAUCCACUACUAUGUUUUCUUUACCCUUGAUGUACUUGAUGACAUAAGGAAAAGACUCAAUAAAUUCACUCCAUUUAGCAUGACGCUUGUUCAACUUGGUUUGACCCUUAAGAUACUUGAGGGUCUCAUGAUCGGUAUGUAUGAUAAACUCAUGGGGACGAAGGUAAUGUUCCCAUUCAUGCAAAACGCGGACUAAAGCAUAUAGCUCUUUGUCAUAGAUGGGGUAAUUGAGUUGCGCUCCGGAAAGUUUCUCACUAAAGUAAGCUAUGGGGCGAUUCUCUUGCGUUAACACACCCCCUGUGCCAUUACCACUAGCAUCGCAAUGAAUCUCAAAAGGUUUGUCAAAGUUGGGUAAGGCAAACACGUGAGCAUGAGUAAGAAAGUUCUUAAGCUCAUUGAAAGCGGUAUCUUGGGAUGGUCCCCAAACAAAAGGCACAUUCUUCUUGCUCAAAGCAUGCAAAGGCGAAGCAAUGGUGGUAAAAUCCUUCACAAAGCGACGAUAGAAAACCGCAAGGCUAAGAAAACUACGCACUUGAUGCAAGUUGGUUGGUUGCGGCCAAGUCUUAAUAGCAUCGAUCUUGGACUCAUCAACAUGAACACCCUUAGAAGAAACAACAAAACCCAAGAAAACGAGCUUAUCAACACCAAAAAGGCAUUUCUCCAUAUUAGCAUAGAGGCGCUCUUUUCUAAGAGUUUGCAAAACGGUGCGGACAUGGGUGACAUGCUCUUUGAUAGAUUUGCUAAACACAAGAAUGUCAUUGAAGUAAACCACGACAAAUAUACCAAUGUAAGGGUGAAAGACAUGAUUCAUAAGGUGCAUAAAAGUGCCUGGUGCUUCUGAAAGACCCAUAGGCAUGACUAACCACUCAUACAAACCAAACUUGGUUUUUGAAGGCGGUUUUCCAUUCAUCACCCUCUUGUAUGCGGAUUUGAUAGUAACCACUCUUAAGAUCAAUUUUGGAAAAUAUAGUGGCACCGCUAAGCUCAUCAAGCAUAUCAUCUAGGCGUGGAAUGGGGUACCUAUAGCGAACGGUGAUAGCAUCGAUAGGUCUACAAUCGGAGCACAUGCGAAAGCUACCGUCACGUUUGGCACAAGAAUGACCAGGACGGCACAAGGGCUCAAACUCUCACACACAUGUCCAUGGUCAAUAAGAUGUUUUACUUGCCUUUGUAUUCCUUUUGUUUCAUCGGGGUUGACACGGUAUGGAGCUUUGUUCGGAAGAGGUGCUCCGGGGAUGAGGUCGAUUCGGUGCUCAAUGCCUCGUAGAGGAGGUAAACCCGAAGGUAGCUCAUCGGGGAAAACAUCUUGAAGUUCCUGCAAAAGAGAGGACAACACUAGAGGAAGAGUGUGAGAAGUGUUAGUUUGUGGUGCAUUGUCCUUGCGCACGAGGACGUAGUGUAGGACACUAGAUGGGUUCUCACACACUUCUCUUAUCUCACGUUUGGUGGCAAAUAGAACUAGGUUUUUGUUUUCGCUCAUCGUGGAGGCACUCGAUUUUUGCUUGUGGCACUCACUCUCUUUUUGGUGGCUCGCUCUCUCACUAUGAUCUCCACAAUGGGUGGCUUGCUUGUCGGCGAUCACUUGACUUGGCGACAUUAGAUGGAGGACGUACUCCUUGCCCUUCAUCUUGAAGAUGUAGUGGUUCGUUCGGCCGUUGUGGAAGACUCCUCUAUAGAAUUGCCAUGGCCGUCCAAGGAAAAGAUGACAAGCGGUCAUUGGAAAGACGUCGCACUCCAAGGUGUCUUCGUAGGCGCCGAUUUUGAAGGAGACUUGUACUCGGUGCUCGACUUGGAUGGCGCCCGAGUCACUAAGCCAUUGCACUUUGUAUGGAUGUGGAUGCUUCGUCUUGGGCAAUUGGAGCUUGGAGCAAAGUUCUUCACUUGCGAUAUUAUGACAACUCCCUCCAUCGAUGAUGACCUUGACGGAUCGUCCAUUGAUGCUGGCCUUGGUGUGGAAUAUGUGGCAUCGUUGGUCUUCUUCUUGGUGAUGUUGGAGAGUCAAGACUUUGGAGACAACAAGUGCAGGACUUGAGUCUUCAUCACAAAAGACUUGUUCUUCUUCAUUGUUCACUUGGAGGUGCAUGGCGACGUGCUCGAGGGCUUCCAUUUCGCCUUCGCUGAGUCAUAAGUGCCAUCGUCGUUGAAGACGAUAGUUCGCUUGUUGGUGCACUCGUAGGACUUGUGGCCUCGGCCUCCGCAAGUGAAACACUUGAAAGAACUUGUCUUGACGGUCUCAUCGGUUGGGGUUGAUGAUGAUGAAGCUCUCGGCUUGAAGUUGCUCAUAGGAGGAUGGCUUGUAGUUGAUGAAGCUUUCUUGGAAGGUGACUUGUCGAUGUUGGAAGUAGAAGGUCUUGUAGUCGGUGUUGGAAUCAUUGAAGCUUGGUUGUUGGAGAAGCCAUAGGACUUGGAUGAGAACUUGGCAUACUUGAAAUCAUCUUGUACUUGGCGUUCCGCUUUGGUAGCUUGGUGCACUAGCUCGAUGAGAUUUUAGUAUGGUUGGAACUCGACGAUCAUCUUGAUAGGAUUAUUGAGUCCAUUCAAGAAAUGUGCCAUUGUUUGCUCAUCAUCUUCCAUGACAUUGGCUCUUAACAUUGCAAUCUCCAUCUCCUUGUAAUAUUGUUCAACGCUCUUUGUUCCUUGCUUGAGUUGUUGGAGUUUCUUGAAGAGGUCACGGUUGUAGUAGGUAGGUACGAAGCAUGCUCUCAUGACAUCCUUCAGUUGCGCCCAAGUAGUGAUGGGUGGUUCACCUCUUGCCUCUCGGCGCUCUAUGAUUUGUUCCCACCAAAUGAGGACAUAGUCUUGGAACUCAAGGGAUGCCAUCGCGAUCUUCUUCUCUUCUUCAUAAUUGUGCAAACAGAAGAUCUUGUCAACCUUCAAUUCCCAUUAAAGGUACUCUUUGGGAUUGUUGCUUCCGUUGAACUUGGGCAUGGUGAACUUGAGUUUGCCAUAACAUUGUUCUUCAUUGUGUUGGGGUCGAGGAUGAUGACGCCCAUGUUGUUGAUGAUUGAUCAACUCGUGGUGCUCUUGGCGCGGAGGGUUAUUAUCGUCAUGUUGUUCUUGCCGUGGAGGAUCUCCAUUAUCUUCAUGCUCUGGAUUGACUUGUUGUUCCUGGCGUGCUUGUGGAGGAGCUUGUCGAGCUCGAGGAGGAACUUGACGAUGCACGCGAGCUUGAAAUCUUCGUUCUUGAAUUUCUUCGCGAAGUGCUUCCUCUUGUUCACGGGCUUGUCGGCUUCGGUCGGCUACGGCUCGACUCGAAUCGCGUAGAGCUUGUUGCGCUGCAAGUGCUUGAGUGUCACGGAGUUGUUGUUCUUGACAUUGUGCCUCGGCAUCUUGAGCAUUUUGGUGUAGACGCGCUCGCUCUUCCUCUUCAUGUUGGCGUUGUCGUUGCCGUUCUCGUGCUAGCGCAAAGGCCUCUUGAGUUUGACGUUGUCGGCGCUCUUGAGAGUCGGUGCCUCGUAGGGGAUUGAGGCUUGCUUGACGGUUGGUGCGCGCGGCUCGGUGAAGGGUGUUCGAUAUCGGUGUACUUGAGCCAGAGAGGGUGAAGUCAGAGUGGCUGCUGGAAUGGCUCCUUCUUGAAGUGGAAGACGAGCGGUUGAGCAACAAAGCACAAAUUUCGUCCAUCCUUGCAUCAUUCUAUUUCUUGUGAUCGUCGAGCUUGUGGUUGAAGUAGUCCCUUGUACGAUGCUCGGAAAGUCGCAAGUCGACGGCAAGGUUGUCGAUGCGUUCACUCAUAGCUUGUUGCUCUUGAUGCAAAGCACGUUGUGCACCAAAGAGGUGAUUCUUGGUGACGUAGGAGUUCAUGUCGUCGUUGUGCUCAAUGAAGAGUGGGUUGGUAGAAGUACUUGGCAUAUCCAUCAUUCCAAGAUACACAAUGUGAGUGGUAGAAAGAUAAGAACGAAUACCAAAUGUACCUUGACCGAAAUUGAAAGUGGAUCGAUGAUCACUCCAAUGUAGGACAAGGAAAUAGCACAAUUGGUACUAGCUCUUGUCGGUUUCUCACACAUACACAAGUAAAAGCUUUUGGUGGAGCUUGGUUAGGAUGGUGGCACAAAAUUUCAUGCAAUUGUAAGUGAGCUUCAAUAAUGUUGGAAAAGAUUCGCAAGAUGCAAUGUAACAAGUAGACCAAGCAUAUAAGGUACACGGAAACACACACACAAAAAGAUAAGUGGGGUUGGGCAACCAAGGAUGAGCCAAAAUGUGGAAUCCACGAAAAUGCUCUUGUUGCACAACACUAGAGAGAUGCUAGCACGAUUGCACAAUAGGCGGAUACAAGAAUUUGUGCACAACCUACUAAGCGAAAAUGCAACGACUUCUAUCCCAAAUAUUUCUUUAUGCAAGGUGUUGCUAUGAUAUGAUCCAAGAUGAUCGAGUAUGACAAUCUUAAUGUUGUAAGAUGCAAUGGUUCUUGCUUAAAAGCUCUUUGCUUAUCUUGUCUCUUUGCUUAAAAGCUUGUUUGGCUCCUUGAUGUUUGAGCUCUUUUCUCAUGCAAUGCUUGACGAACCAAGAUAGAAAAUGAGUAUGGGAUGACAACUUUGUGACACAAGAGAUGAUACCAAUAUAUGCAACAAUGAUGUAUGUAUGCUAUGGGAAGUAUGAUCACUAAUGUGCACAAGUCUCGUUGCCGGCAAUACUCAAUGGCUAGUCUCGAUGGGUAAGCAACACAAAUGAGUAAGGCUAUGAUGGCUAUCAAUGUAAUGGCAAGAGUGAUAUGCCCAAUACCAAAAUGAGGUUACCGGUCUUGCUUCCGGUAUGGUGUCAAAAUGGUGGCACGAAUACCAAGAUGUAGUUGAGGUGGUCGUUGUUGAUGACGAUGUAGGACGACAGUGAUGAUGUAGGACACGUCCGUGGCGAAGAUGAGCAGCGGUGAUGUCGAUGUCGAACUAUACCUAGAUAGCCGAAACAUAAAAGGAUACGAUACCACACUCAAAUUCUCAAACCUCGAAGUAGCAAAUGUGUCGGAGAGCGAAACGGUCCAAAAAUGGUUGGGUUAUGCGGAAGUGGUGGAGGUAUGCGGAAGUAUAUAUGGUAUAUGGUGGGCACUGGAACAAAAUUUGGUGGAAAUUGGGCGGAAAUCGGGGCGGUGGAUGGAGAUGUUGCUGCCAUGGGUCGGAUGUCCGGGUGGAAGGCCGGAUGUCCGGGUGGGGCCGGAUGUCCAGGCUUGACGGGCCGGAUGUCCGGGCUCUGGAUCCGGGGACGAAUGGGAUGAACACCGCAUGAAGAGGUUAAAUCCGGGUGAAAUUCGGAGGAAUUUGUGGAUGGAAAUUGGGAGAAAAGGAUGGGAAGCUAGAUCCACUCAAAACAAAGCAAAUCCACGGAUCCAAACCAACAAAAUCUCAACACACCAACAAAUCACACAAAAAAAA
rnacentral:lncRNA from 1 species